rnacentral:rRNA from 1 species
CCUACGGGUGGCAGCAGUGGGGGAUAUUGCACAAUGGGGGAAACCCUGAUGCAGCGACGCCGCGUGAGGGAAGAAGGAUUUCGGUGUGUAAAGCUCUAUCAGCCGGGAAGAAAAUGACAGUACCUGACCAAGAAUCCCCGUCUAACUACGUGCCAGCAGCCGCGGUAAUGCGUAGGGUGCAAGCGUUAUCCGGAUUUACUGGGUGUAAAGGGAGCGUAGACGGUUCUGUAAGUCUGGAGUGAAAUCCCUGGGCCCAACCCCGGGACUGCCUUUGAAACUGUGUAACUGGAGUACAGGAGGGGUAGGCGGAAUGCGUGGUGUAGCGGUGAAAUGCGUAGAUAUCAGGAGGAACACUGGCGGCGAAGGCGGCCUGCUGGACUGAAACUGACGUUGAGGCUCGAAAGCGUGGGGAGCAAACAGGAUUAGAUACCCCAGUAGUC